AGAGUUUGAUCCUGGCUCAGGAUGAACGCUGGCGGCGUGCUUAACACAUGCAAGUCGAACGAAGAUAUUUAGAAUGAGAGCUUCGGCAGGAUUUCUAUCUAUCUUAGUGGCGGACGGGUGAGUAACGUGUGGGCAACCUGCCCUGUACUGGGGAAUAAUCAUUGGAAACGAUGACUAAUACCGCAUGUGGUCCUCGGAAGGCAUCUUCUGAGGAAGAAAGGAUUUAUUCGGUACAGGAUGGGCCCGCAUCUGAUUAGCUAGUUGGUGAGAUAACAGCCCACCAAGGCGACGAUCAGUAGCCGACCUGAGAGGGUGAUCGGCCACAUUGGGACUGAGACACGGCCCAAACUCCUACGGGAGGCAGCAGUGGGGAAUAUUGCACAAUGGGGGAAACCCUGAUGCAGCGACGCCGCGUGAGCGAUGAAGUAUUUCGGUAUGUAAAGCUCUAUCAGCAGGGAAGAAAAUGACGGUACCUGACUAAGAAGCCCCGGCUAACUACGUGCCAGCAGCCGCGGUAAUACGUAGGGGGCAAGCGUUAUCCGGAAUUACUGGGUGUAAAGGGAGCGUAGGCGGCAUGGUAAGCCAGAUGUGAAAGCCUUGGGCUUAACCCGAGGAUUGCAUUUGGAACUAUCAAGCUAGAGUACAGGAGAGGAAAGCGGAAUUCCUAGUGUAGCGGUGAAAUGCGUAGAUAUUAGGAAGAACACCAGUGGCGAAGGCGGCUUUCUGGACUGAAACUGACGCUGAGGCUCGAAAGCGUGGGGAGCAAACAGGAUUAGAUACCCUGGUAGUCCACGCCGUAAACG
rnacentral:rRNA from 1 species